rnacentral:rRNA from 2 species
ACAACUUUGGGCAGUGGAUCACUCGGCUCGCGCGU